UGCAUGUAUAAUAUAUAAGUGUACUAUAUUUUUUAUAUACUAAUUUUUAAAUUUAUUAAAUAAUCAUGUGUUGUUCAUUUGAAAGGUAUUUGACAUUUGAAAUUACCGCCAGAGGUACCGCCCUCUGGAAAAGAUUUUAUUCAAAUAACAAAUACAUUUGUGAGGUUACGAAUUAAGAAAACAUUUAAAAAACAUGUGUGUUGGAUGUUUAUUAUGAAUUUAUAAUUAAUAUUGAUCGAUUUAACUAAAUAAAAUAUGAUUGCUGAGGAAAAAAGUAUUGGAAAUUAUCGCACUUUGUGGUUAAAGUGUGAAGCAACGAGUUCAGAUAGACAUCAAUUAUUUUUAAAAGAACACAAUGUAAGGAAACAGGAGCCGGAGUUCCCGAAAGGUCGUACGUUAUUUGUACUCAAUGUGCCGCCUUAUGCAACUUUGUCCUCAAUAAAAGCAGCUUUUGCACGACACUGUGGACGUGUUAAAUUUAUCAAAGUUAUACCUGGUAUGGGGUGUACUUGAGUACACAUUGUCAGUCCUCUAGGACGAUAUUAAGCUCUUGGAUUGAUCAAAAGAUCCUAAGAAGAAACAUUGAAUCCUAUUCAUAAAAGUGCUCUUGCUCUUGAAGAAUAGAAGAGUUUUUCUGUAGCUGCUGUAGAUUUUCACGAAUGUCAGGAAUGACACGGCAGAAAAAAUGCUGAAGAGAAAAUUUACGGGAUAAAAAAGUAAAGGGACAAAAGCUACUACUUGUUUCAUUAAAAUUUAAUCUGCUGCAAUCAACGUAAGAUAUAUUUAAUUCUUAUUCUUUUCUGUACGGCCACAGUAGUAAUUAUUUUUAGUUGUUAUUGGUAGCGUCGAGUUCUUGAUUCUAACUUUUUAUUGAGUCAAAUUUGUAGAGGCAUUUACGGUUGUUUUUGAGGGAAAUUUUUUAAAACGGAAGGUUUAACUUUAAAGAAAAAUGCAUUAUUAAUAAUACUUAGUCGAUUUUAUUGAACACAAUAAAUUACAAAGUGUAAUAUUUUCAAUAAAAAUUAGUAGGAUAAACAACUCAGUCCCUAGUCUCUUUAAAAAGCCAGUUCUCUAAGAAAUUACUUCAAAAGUCAGCUCUCUUUGACUUUACAUUUGAAAAAUUCAACGAAUUUAUAUUGAUUGAUUCGACAAUGAAUUCAUCUUGUCGGUAAAAAAAAAUUAAUGAUAUAAUUAUCAGUCGUAUUAUUAUUUUUUUAAUAAAAUAUAUAAGUGGAGCUGGAUGAUGGUAGGGGGUCGACGAUCGGGUACUUUAC